rnacentral:lncRNA from 1 species
GAAUGGGGCUGGCUGAGCACCGUGGGUCGGCGAGGGCCCGCCAAGGAAGGAGCGACCGACCGAGCCAGGCGCCCUCCGCAGACCUCCGCGCAGCGGCCGCGGGCGCGAGGGGAGGGGUCUGGAGCUCCCUCCGGCUGCCUGUCCCGCACCGGAGCCCGUGGGGUGGGGAGGUGUGCAGCCUGUGACAGACAGGGGCUUAGAGAUGCAAACAGACUCAGGGAGAGAAACAGAAGCUGAUUCUGUGACAGAAGCAGAUCUGUGCAGCACAGAUGCGGUGUGCGUGGGGAGGGGGUCGCCUGGGAGCGCAUUGCGGAGUGCUUGUGUGUGCAGAUUUUUCUCUGGGCUCAGGACUCAUUGUAUGUGGGUCAACACCUUCCUCCGUGACUGUGUUUUUGUUCUGAGCUGAGUUUUUUGGUUUGCCCUUAAAAAAAUAAUAAUUUGGCAUCCAGAGACUGGCAGACUGCCUCAGGGCCUGGACUGCGGAUAUAUUGUGUUCUGCUUGAGGUUUGGGGAGGAGGGCAGGCGGUAGGAAGGGAGAGGGGGAGCUGUUUGUCACACUUUGCUGUAGAGCUGAGAGCACCUGACAAGCUUAAGGAAGUCGUUGGGCUAUGUGGACAAGAAGGAGCCAGCUCCCAGCGGGUUCACAAGCUCUAUCGGAGUUGAAAGCGUGGUCAUGGCUCUAAGGAGCACCUCACGCCCUCCCUGUAGCUGUUAUUGCAGUUUCAGGCAGAGAUCCAGGAGCUGCAGAGGAAGGGAGAGGCACAAUAACCUACAUGGACCCAAGGGAGACAUGUGUUCCUUUAAAAAUGUGAACAGAAGGAAAAACAGAAUGUGUGCAACUGGGGGUCUGAGGAAAGACUGUUUUGAAAGAGGCUGUCAGGGAAUGGAAAGGGUUAAGCUUUUCAUCCUGAAGAACCUGCUUCCCAAAUCAGGCCUUCCUCCCAUCACUAGACCCUGAGCAGCAGCUGGUCCUAGAGACCCCCCUCGUACUGCGCUGCCACAGUCUCAUCCCAUUUCCAGCUCUGUAUUAACCACCAAGCUGCAGCGGAUGGGGCAAGACCUAAGCUCAUUAAUUUCCAGGUGGAGGAAAUGGAGGAGGGGCAGGUCCCUGCAGUAGAGGGAGGAGCAGAGAAAGGAGGCCAAGAGCUGGAUCCUUCUGCCCAGGAAGCCUGCUGCAUCCCUUCCCCCGAGCAUGGCAGAGGCCUGGCUUUGCAAGGCCAAGGCCAUAAGGGAUGCUUAGGAGAUUAAUUUGAUUCCUGACACAAUAAUCAAGCCCUAAGAGUCUCCACUGAAGCUUACUGAGGACUUCUUUCCUCUCCAAAGCCUCAGUCUAGCCUGCUAAAUAAAUUAGUAUUCAGUGAUGCCUUGGAUCAGGGCCCCUCCCCGGCCUCAGUUUCCCCAAAUAUUUAUUAAGUACCUACUGUGUGCAAUCCUUGUGUAAUUAUUAACUCUUAGGCUCUUCAUUUGCCCUCCUAAAGCAGUGUUUAGAGUCAGGCAGAGGUUAAGUGUGUUGCACCUCACCUAGAUACUUCCAGAACCUUCUCUGGGUCUGCAGAAUGUGGCACAACCUGCUUGCCCCCGCAGAGAGAAAGCUGCAGUGCACAUCCUGCAGACUGCAGGUGCUGGGCUGCCUCUGGAGUCCCAGAAGGCAAGCUUGGCUGCAGGACAGAAAGGGAGAACAGCUUCUCUCACCCCUGAGCCUUCACAAGCCCUUGUCUAUUUGCCGUUGCCUUCAAAAUAUACCUCCCCCGAAACCAGUAGCUUUCUGAGUCCUGGUGUCCCCUCCGCCCUUUCUGGACAGGUUUGGGAAGAAGAAAGCAGUCAGUGCUGGGCCUUAUUGGGGUGUGAAGCGCCUUGCUCUGCCCCUUCUGCUCACUGUGAAGGCCGCUGGAUGCUUCUCUUAGGCAUGGUUUAAGCCUCCGAUUACUAAACCCCUUGCCCCACAAACGUCCACAUUGACGAGCCUCUUUUUAGUAACUGCUUCCCCGUAAUUCCUUCAGAGGUUGCUGUACCCUUCGCUGAUGUGCUGCCCUCCUGUAAAACCUCCAGAUGCCUUCCCACGUAAUGCCCCUUUCAGAUGCUUUAAGCUGAGAGCUUAAACCACAGGUACCAUGGCUGACGCCUGCCAGGUUUCUGCUGCAGAUAAUCUAUGAUGGGAGGGGCAUAUUUUUUACUUCAUUACUUAUGUAAACUCUUGUUCCAGAAAGCUUUAAUGUGUGUGGGAGUGUUCUGGGUCUAUUAGGUCUGUGCGCAUGGGUGUGGGCAUUUGCCUGUGUCCACCGGGUGGGUCUCAUUAUGAAAUGUAUGUUUAUGUAGGGCUUUAAUGGCUGAAAAUGGCAAAGAGAUGAAUAGACCACUUGGCCCCAUGUGUAAUUGCCAGGCCCCUUCUGUGCUCAAAUGAGGUGUCCGAGUGAAGGUCAGCCCUUCCCUUCUGUAUUUGGGGCCUAUUUAUGCCACCAGUAAUUUUAUAAGAAAUCUGAAUAGUUCUCCCCUUUGAGUGCAUUUAACUCUUUAGUAUCUUCUCUCUUACCUAUUUGAGCCCCUCUAGCUACAGUCUGGCUUAAAUGAAAGGGGAAUUAUAUGCUUAAGAAAAAGUAGGACACGGUUGAGGCAGUUUGCUGACUGAAUACGCGAAGAAGGACCUGAUGGGCUCAUAUGCACCACUGCCAUCACAGUCCCCAUCGUGAUGCAAGCUUAUAUGAUUCUUGAGGUAACUCUACCAGAUACUUCCAGAUUUAGAAAUGUGUCAAAGGAAAAAUUGGUGAUACUCUUCUUUCCCCUGCCAGAAACAGCCCAGAUCUCCUCUUAAGCGGAAAAGAGAUUGACCUUCUAGCAGAGGCAAAGGUAAACUCCUAAUGGAGUCUUCUGGGGGCAGCUGCAAAGCGUUCUCCCUAGGACAGAUGGAGCCUCCCUUUCCUCAUCUACUCUGUGGGUGGUUUCAGGGCCCACGAGUCAACAUGAGGAGUUGUGCUGGUGGUAUGUGUGUUGGAGGCUGGGCUGGCUGAUUCACAGUGACGAGGAUGUCAAUAAUAACAAGAAUGAGAAUGAUGGUACCUAAUAAAGA